rnacentral:rRNA from 1 species
AACGCUAGCUACAGGCUUAACACAUGCAAGUCGAGGGGCAGCACAGUGUAGCAAUACAUGGGUGGCGACCGGCGCACGGGUGCGUAACGCGUAUCCAACCUUCCCGUUACUCAGGGAUAGCCUUCCGAAAGGGAGAUUAAUACCUGAUGGUGUUGAAAUUCCGCAUGUUAUUUCAACUAAAGAUUUAUCGGUAACGGAUGGGGAUGCGUGACAUUAGGUAGAUGGCGGGGUAACGGCCCACCAUGCCUACGAUGUCUAGGGGUUCUGAGAGGAAGGUCCCCCACACUGGAACUGAGACACGGUCCAGACUCCUACGGGAGGCAGCAGUGAGGAAUAUUGGUCAAUGGCCGGAAGGCUGAACCAGCCAAGUAGCGUGAAGGAUGAAGGUUCUAUGGAUUGUAAACUUCUUUUAUACGGGAAUAAAACCUCCCACGUGUGGGAGCUUGUAUGUACCGUAUGAAUAAGCAUCGGCUAACUCCGUGCCAGCAGCCGCGGUAAUACGGAGGAUGCGAGCGUUAUCCGGAUUUAUUGGGUUUAAAGGGAGCGUAGACGGGGGAUUAAGUCAGUUGUGAAAGGCUGCGGCUCAACCGCAGCACUGCAGUUGAUACUGGUUCCCUUGAGUGCGGUUGAGGUAUGUGGAAUUCGUGGUGUAGCGGU